rnacentral:rRNA from 1 species
CAGCAGCCGCGGUAAUACGUAGGUGGCGAGCGUUGUCCGGAAUUAUUGGGCGUAAAGGGCGCGCAGGCGGUUUAGUAAGUCUGAAGUUAAAGGCAGUGGCUCAACCAUUGUACGCUUUGGAAACUGUUUAACUUGAGUGCAGGAGGGGAGAGUGGAAUUCCAUGUGUAGCGGUGAAAUGCGUAGAUAUAUGGAGGAACACCGGUGGCGAAAGCGGCUCUCUGGUCUGUAACUGACGCUGAGGCUCGAAAGCGUGGGGAGCAAACAGGAUUAGAUACCCCCGUAGUCCCUGUCUCUUAUACA